UAGCGAAGGGGGCUAGCGUUGUUCGGAAUCACUGGGCGUAAAGGGCGCGUAGGCGGCUUUGUAAGUCGGGGGUGAAAGCCUGUGGCUCAACCACAGAAUUGCCUUCGAUACUGCAUGGCUUGAGACCGGAAGAGGUUAGUGGAACUGCGAAGUGUAGAGGUGAAAUUCGUAGAUAUUCGCGAGAACACCAGUGGCGAAGGCGGCUGACUGGUCCGGUUCUGAACGCGUGAGG
rnacentral:rRNA from 1 species